rnacentral:rRNA from 1 species
CCUAUACAUGCAGUAGAACGCUGAAGAGAGGAGCUUGCUCUUCUUGGAUGAGUUGCGAACGGGUGAGUAACGCGUAGGUAACCUGCCUUGUAGCGGGGGAUAACUAUUGGAAACGAUAGCUAAUACCGCAUAACAAUGGAUGACACAUGUCAUUUAUUUGAAAGGGGCAAUUGCUCCACUACAAGAUGGACCUGCGUUGUAUUAGCUAGUAGGUGAGGUAAUGGCUCACCUAGGCGACGAUACAUAGCCGACCUGAGAGGGUGAUCGGCCACACUGGGACUGAGACACGGCCCAGACUCCUACGGGAGGCAGCAGUAGGGAAUCUUCGGCAAUGGGGGCAACCCUGACCGAGCAACGCCGCGUGAGUGAAGAAGGUUUUCGGAUCGUAAAGCUCUGUUGUAAGUCAAGAACGGGUGUGAGAGUGGAAAGUUCACACUGUGACGGUAGCUUACCAGAAAGGGACGGCUAACUACGUGCCAGCAGCCGCGGUAAUACGUAGGUCCCGAGCGUUGUCCGGAUUUAUUGGGCGUAAAGCGAGCGCAGGCGGUUUGAUAAGUCUGAAGUUAAAGGCUGUGGCUCAACCAUAGUUCGCUUUGGAAACUGUCAAACUUGAGUGCAGAAGGGGAGAGUGGAAUUCCAUGUGUAGCGGUGAAAUGCGUAGAUAUAUGGAGGAACACCGGUGGCGAAAGCGGCUCUCUGGUCUGUAACUGACGCUGAGGCUCGAAAGCGUGGGGAGCGAACAGGAUUAGAUACCCUGGUAGUCCACGCCGUAAACGAUGAGUGCUAGGUGUUGGAUCCUUUCCGGGAUUCAGUGCCGCAGCUAACGCAUUAAGCACUCCGCCUGGGGAGUACGACCGCAAGGUUGAAACUCAAAGGAAUUGACGGGGGCCCGCACAAGCGGUGGAGCAUGUGGUUUAAUUCGAAGCAACGCGAAGAACCUUACCAGGUCUUGACAUCCCGAUGCUAUUUCUAGAGAUAGAAAGUUACUUCGGUACAUCGGUGACAGGUGGUGCAUGGUUGUCGUCAGCUCGUGUCGUGAGAUGUUGGGUUAAGUCCCGCAACGAGCGCAACCCCUAUUGUUAGUUGCCAUCAUUCAGUUGGGCACUCUAGCGAGACUGCCGGUAAUAAACCGGAGGAAGGUGGGGAUGACGUCAAAUCAUCAUGCCCCUUAUGACCUGGGCUACACACGUGCUACAAUGGUUGGUACAACGAGUUGCGAGUCGGUGACGGCGAGCUAAUCUCUUAAAGCCAAUCUCAGUUCGGAUUGUAGGCUGCAACUCGCCUACAUGAAGUCGGAAUCGCUAGUAAUCGCGGAUCAGCACGCCGCGGUGAAUACGUUCCCGGGCCUUGUACACACCGCCCGUCACACCACGAGAGUUUGUAACACCCGAAGUCGGUGAGGUAACCUUUGGAGCCAGCCGCUAAGGGAUCG